CCGACCGUACUCGGCCUACAUGCGCACCUUCCAUUCCAACACAUUGGUCCUCGCACACCAACUCAGCCAACAAUGAAGCAUACCUGGAGGUAACAGGUAUAAACACACUGUGAAACGUCAUCGCAGUGAGUAAGCAAUUAUCACAAUUUGAUCGCGUAAACAAGUGUAUUGAACCUCCCAGAAAACUGAUUCUAAACUACCCUAAUCUAGUGCUACUUAAUUGCCUUAAAUCUAACUUAGUCUAAUGUAGUCUAGUGCCUAGAAACUACCGUAUAACUACAACUAAAGUCGGUAAGGAUUUAAUGCCAAUUUAUUAUAAAUAUGUAUAUUACAGACUACUCUUAAAAUUAGGAUAGCGAUAGCAGUUACCCACUAGCGGGAAUCCGUGGUUUAUAUUUUGCUAAAAUUCGACCUAAAUCGCACCAGAAUUUCCGUAUCGUAACCAGAUAAACGAAAUACAGUAGGCACUAAACGUGAGUAAAUAUUAAAUAUACUUAUAUCAAUAAUUCCAAUGCAUACAAACUAAAUAUGAAUAUGCAUUCAAAACUUAGCUUAACUUAUCUAAACUUACAUCUAGAUAUAUUUUCAUUAUAUAUAUACGAUUACUAAAGUUAACUAAUCUAAACCUAUGCUACGCUAAAAUGUACAGUUAAACUAAACUAAGAUUCAUUUACUUUCUCAAUAGGAAAAUUAUAAUCUCCCGUUACGAAACCCGAGUGUUUUAUUGGAGAUUACAAUUGCGGAAAUACCCUGCUGUUACUCCGUUGGCCAAAGUCAACAUAUUAUAAUUUUCGUUUAUACGAAUAUCUACGAUUAAUUCUCCGGUAUGUCGAACCGAAAUAGAGCGAAACAGAGUGGAAAAAGCACUUCAGAGGGUGCCAAAGAUAAUGCUACUGCGGCAUGGCCAAAACCGGUAGGAAGGGGUGUGUCGGACAGUGGAAAAGUGUGUGGUAGUGGUAAAAUUGGACAGGUGAUCUCAAAAGUUCCAAGGGGUAAGCAGUUCGAUGAUACUGUACCCGGCUGGGCGUGUAAAAUCUGCCAGGGAGCGGAUACCGAAGAUAUGGUACAAUGCGAUGUUUGCGAUAAGUGGCAUCAUUAUGAGUGUGUUGGAGUAGCAGACGAUAUUGCGAACGUCAGCUGGAGAUGUCCCAACUGCGUAGCUGAAAGGGAGUACCAGCGUAAACUGCAGCAGAUCCCAAAAUAUGCAGGUGGUCAAGACAAAUCGUCUAAACAAAAUCAAACCGGUGGUGAUUCGGUUAUUCCUGCGGUCCCGAUUAAUGCGCCGCUUGGAUUACCCAUCGCAGUAGGUGUGGCGGGCCCUUCGAUUUCGUCUGGACGAAAUCCAAUAGUUUCCAAAAUGGUUGCGGCUUUGGAGGUCAAGCAGUUUAAACACAGUCAAUCUAUUACGUUGCCGGUGCAUCCCAAUCCGGACACGAAGGCGACUAUAUUAGCGAAUAGAGCAAGGUCAGCAAAUUCACAAUCGUGCUCGAUAAAGUCGCUUUUGAAGCUAGAACUUCAAAAAUUAGAAGAGGAGCGGGCUUUCGAACAACAGGAGGCGGAGAGACGUAGAAUUCUGGAGCAGGAGGAAGCAAAAAGACGACGAGAUUUCGAGCUGCGUGAAGCGGAGAAGUAUCGUGAAUACAUCAAGAAGAAAUAUGCUCUACUUGAAGAAAUGUCGAACCGGUCUGAUUCAAGUCGCAGCGAGGCGGCGAGCAGAGUUAAUGAUUGGGUAAGCAGCGUAAAUAUUAUGCAACAAAGAGGGCGGAAAGUUACUCAGACCGCUCGCGGCUUCAAUCCACACCAACAUUCUAGUCAGCAUCAAUUCUCGUUUCCGGACCAUGAUGAUAUUCCUCGAAGUAAUUCACCAGCCGUAGGUUCCAUUAUUGGAAGCGCAUGUAAUGUUCAAAGAGAAUCGAUGAUAGCUGCAGACCGAACCCGUUCUCAUUCCAACGUCACGAUCCAUGGUAACGAAUGCCGGAUUGCACAUUCCGGACGAAUGACGCAACGAGCUAGUCAACUGCCAAUACGUGAAGAAGAGGAACCGGAUCCUUGUCAUCUCAGCAAGAAGCAAUUAGCCGCACGUCAAGCAGUUUCCAAGGACCUGCCCUACUUUUCCGGCAAACCAGACGAGUGGCCUAUUUUUAUUUCGGUCUACAAUAGCACCACGGCUAUGUGUGGAUUCUCUGACGAAGAGAACAUCAUCCGUCUUCAAAAGUGUCUGAAGGGGAAGGCUUACGAAGCUGUACAAAGUCGACUGCUGUAUCCGUCGAAUGCUCCGGGUGUAAUUGCAACAUUGCGGAUGCUUUAUGGACAACCAGAAGCUAUUGUCCACUCAUUGAUAGGGAAAAUCAAUGCGCUUCCCCCACUGCGGGAAGACAAACUGGAAACCAUCGUAGAUUUCGCGGUGAACGUACAGAAUUUCUGUGCUACAGUCGACGCUUGCGGCAUUGCAGACUAUAUGUACAACAUCUCUCUUCUACACCAGCUCGUCAGUAAGCUUCCUCCUACUAUCAAGUUGGAUUGGGCACGGUAUCGACAGACCCUUUCUGUCAUUAACCUAUCCACAUUCGGAGAAUGGAUAUACUCUUUGGCUGAGGCAGCAAGCGCUAUUAUUAUUCCACCAGUGAUGGUGGAGACCAAAUCAGCACGCUACGAGGCGAAAGGGACCAAGAAGGAAAAUGCCUUCCUUUAUGCACACUCCGAAACAUCAUACCCACCCCCUUCACCAUCGAUCGCGCCACAGAGUGGUGUUAGGGAAGAAAAGUUAAAAGAAUGGGUUGAUAACAGCUGCGCAAUCUGCAAAGGCAAUUGUAAAGCAAUCGCUAAAUGCAUGCGUUUCCAGGAGCUGUCCAGGGAUUCGCGGUGGGCCGCUGUGCGGGAAUUCAACUUAUGCCGGCGAUGUCUCCACAAGCAUAGCGCUAACAGUUGUUAUGCUAAGUUGUGUGGAAUAAACGGAUGUACAAGAAUGCACCAUGAACUGCUGCACAACGAUCGAAAGGACGAUUUCAUAGUGACACACUCAGAUAAAACAACACCGUCUCCGCAGAUACAGAAUGAAGAGCACACUCAAGGGUUCAAUUUACACCAUUCUAAUUCAAGCGCUGUGUUGUUCCGUUACAUACCGGUUGUUCUACACGGAAAACACCGUUCCGUACAAACGUACGCAUUCUUCGAUGAGGGGUCAGAGUUGACACUACUCGACCAGCAGCUGUCAAACGAGCUCAUGUUGGAAGGAACAAUGCAACCGUUAUGCCUCAAAUGGACUGGGGGUACACUGCGCAACGAGAUGAAGUCCGAAGUCGUCAGCCUGGAGGUGUCGGGAAUGGAGAACAAUGCCAAGAAGUUCAACCUCGACGCUGUACGAACCGUUGAAAGUCUACUUCUACCGCGUCAAACAGUCGACAUGGAGAAGUUGGUGCAGCUAUAUCCUCAUCUACGCAGAUUACCUAUCGAAUCAUACCACGAAGCUAGACCACGCAUUCUGAUCGGUAUGAAGCACGUAGGAGUAAGUGUCGCCCUGAAGACUAAAUUAGGGGGUUACGAUGAACCGGUCGCAGUAAAGACUCGAUUGGGGUGGACCUUAUGUGGCGGAUAUAAGAAGAAUGAAUCCGUCUCCACAGGACAUUGUGCAUUUCACGUAUGCGCAGAAACAGAGCACUCCGACAAGAACCUACAUAAAACCGUGAAUACUCAUCGCACGCAGGAUAGUCUAAGCAUAGAAAAAUUCGAUAACAUCCUUAUAUCUUCCGAUGUUCAUGGCGCAGAGAACUCAGACCUAAAAGUAAAACACCAUGAAACCCAUCUGUCUGUGCGUUGCGACGAUGUACUUCUACCAGACUGUGGUGAAUUGACUCUUCGUCGACACCAAAACCGAUCGUCGACAGCACAAAAAGGUGCCAGCAUGUACGAGCGACCUACUUCAAAGCUGGUGAUGUUGGACGUUUGGCGCGAUAAAUAGUAAGCCAGCUUGGAGGCUGGCGUACCUGGGGGGAGUGUUAGCCGACCGUACUCGGCCUACAUGCGCACCUUCCAUUCCAACACAUUGGUCCUCGCACACCAACUCAGCCAACAAUGAAGCAUACCUGGAGGUAACAGGUAUAAACACACUGUGAAACGUCAUCGCAGUGAGUAAGCAAUUAUCACAAUUUGAUCGCGUAAACAAGUGUAUUGAACCUCCCAGAAAACUGAUUCUAAACUACCCUAAUCUAGUGCUACUUAAUUGCCUUAAAUCUAACUUAGUCUAAUGUAGUCUAGUGCCUAGAAACUACCGUAUAACUACAACUAAAGUCGGAUAGCGAUAGCAGUUACCCACUAGCGGGAAUCCGUGGUUUAUAUUUUGCUAAAAUUCGACCUAAAUCGCACCAGAAUUUCCGUAUCGUAACCAGAUAAACGAAAUACAGUAGGCACUAAACGUGAGUAAAUAUUAAAUAUACUUAUAUCAAUAAUUCCAAUGCAUACAAACUAAAUAUGAAUAUGCAUUCAAAACUUAGCUUAACUUAUCUAAACUUACAUCUAGAUAUAUUUUCAUUAUAUAUAUACGAUUACUAAAGUUAACUAAUCUAAACCUAUGCUACGCUAAAAUGUACAGUUAAACUAAACUAAGAUUCAUUUACUUUCUCAAUAGGAAAAUUAUAAUCUCCCGUUACGAAACCCGAGUGUUUUAUUGGAGAUUACAAUUGCGGAAAUACCCUGCUGUUACUCCGUUGGC